AGGAUGAACGCUAGCUACAGGCUUAACACAUGCAAGUCGAGGGGCAGCAUGAACUUAGCUUGCUAAGUUUGAUGGCGACCGGCGCACGGGUGAGUAACACGUAUCCAACCUGCCGAUGACUCGGGGAUAGCCUUUCGAAAGAAAGAUUAAUACCCGAUGGCAUAGUUCUUCCGCAUGGUAGGACUAUUAAAGAAUUUCGGUCAUCGAUGGGGAUGCGUUCCAUUAGCUUGUUGGCGGGGUAACGGCCCACCAAGGCAUCGAUGGAUAGGGGUUCUGAGAGGAAGGUCCCCCACAUUGGAACUGAGACACGGUCCAAACUCCUACGGGAGGCAGCAGUGAGGAAUAUUGGUCAAUGGGCGCUAGCCUGAACCAGCCAAGUAGCGUGAAGGAUGACUGCCCUAUGGGUUGUAAACUUCUUUUAUAUGGGAAUAAAGUGCAGUAUGUAUACUGCUUUGCAUGUACCUUAUGAAUAAGGAUCGGCUAACUCCGUGCCAGCAGCCGCGGUAAUACGGAGGAUCCGAGCGUUAUCCGGAUUUAUUGGGUUUAAAGGGAGCGUAGGCGGGUUGUUAAGUCAGUUGUGAAAGUUUGCGGCUCAACCGUAAAAUUGCAGUUGAUACUGGCAUCCUUGAGUACAGUAGAGGUAGGCGGAAUUCGUGGUGUAGCGGUGAAAUGCUUAGAUAUCACGAAGAACUCCGAUUGCGAAGGCAGCCUGCUGGACUGUAACUGACGCUGAUGCUCGAAAGUGUGGGUAUCAAACAGGAUUAGAUACCCUGGUAGUCCACACAGUAAACG
rnacentral:rRNA from 1 species